UCAGCCCUCAGCCGCUGCGCCCUCCCGCCCUCGGUGGGUGCUCUCUGAAAUUUGAGGGGUUGUUUCGCCUUUCUUUUUUUUUUUUUUCUUUUAAUAAUCCGCAAAGGCGAGUGAGGCUGAGGGAGGAGGAGUGAGUUAGCAAAAAGAAAAAGAUAUAUAUAUAUUUAAAAAAAAAAAAAAAAUUGAAACCCCACAAGCCCGUUUGCCGUGUGAAGCUGCGGGGAUGCUGAGGGAUGGCGAUGCUGAAGGAAGGGGAUGCGCCCCGCCCCGGGCUGUGAGCGCGAAGUCGUUGUCCAAAGGUGCCCAGGGGAGCGAGCACAUGGAGCAGCCAGGAAGCUGGGAGAGCAGAUCUGGACCAGCAACCAAACUCAGCAGGAGCACACCCAGAUCUCAGAGACUGUGGAAAGAAGGGCUGGCUGUGUCCUGCUUGCACUGCCCUCAGCUAUGGAAGACAAUACUCGUUCCACUGGAUGGCAGGGAGAGGAUUCUGAGCCUGCAGGAGCCCACAACGGCCAGCACCUGAGCAAGGGACCUGGACAGACUGAAGAAGACAUGAUGGCAACCUGAAGAAAAAGACUGAAUCAGGACCUGCUGCUGAGCCAUCCUCCCUCACCAUCUCAGGCAGACAGGCCUUGGCACCCUAGCAGCACUCAAGCACUCCCAGGUCUCGUGUGUUUGCAUGUGAAACCAACUUCUCUGAAAUUCAUCCUGCUCCUACAUAAUGGCUGUUCUGCCUACUGCAGGAUAAAAUUAACUUCAAGGAGGGAAUGACCUCGCUUGCCACUCUGCUUUGUAGGAGCGAUGUGCCAGCAAUGCUAAUAAAGUGUUAUCAAUUCA